UGGGGAAUUUUGGACAAUGGGCGAAAGCCUGAUCCAGCAAUGCCGCGUGUGUGAAGAAGGCCUUCGGGUUGUAAAGCACUUUUGUCCGGAAAGAAAUCCUUGGCUCUAAUACAGUCGGGGGAUGACGGUACCGGAAGAAUAAGCACCGGCUAACUACGUGCCAGCAGCCGCGGUAAUACGUAGGGUGCAAGCGUUAAUCGGAAUUACUGGGCGUAAAGCGUGCGCAGGCGGUUUGCUAAGACCGAUGUGAAAUCCCCGGGCUCAACCUGGGAACUGCAUUGGUGACUGGCAGGCUAGAGUAUGGCAGAGGGGGGUAGAAUUCCACGUGUAGCAGUGAAAUGCGUAGAGAUGUGGAGGAAUACCGAUGGCGAAGGCAGCCCCCUGGGCCAAUACUGACGCUCAUGCACGAAAGCGUGGGGGAGCAAACAGGAUUAGAUACCCCUGGUAGUCCACGCCCUAAACGAUGUCAACUAGUUGUUGGGGGAUUCAUUUCCUUAGUAACGUAGCUAACGCGUGAAGUUGACCGCCUGGGGAGUACGGUCGCAAGAUUAAAACUCAAAUGAAUUGAC
rnacentral:rRNA from 1 species